GUGCUCGCUUCAGCACAUAUACUAAAAUUGGAACAAUACAGAGAAAAUUAGCAGACCCCUGCACAAGGAUGACACGCAAAUUCAUGAAGCAUUCCAUAUUAAA
rnacentral:snRNA from 1 species